AGGGUUCGAUUAUGGCUCAGAUUGAACGCUGGCGGAAUGCUUUACACAUGCAAGUCGAGCGGCAGCACGGGGGUAACCCUGGUGGCGAGCGGCGAACGGGUGAGUAAUACAUCGGAACAUGCCCAGUCGUGGGGGAUAACACUUCGAAAGAAGUGCUAAUACCGCAUACGUCCUGAGGGAGAAAGCGGGGGAUCGCAAGACCUCGCGCGAUUGGAGUGGCCGAUGUCAGAUUAGCUAGUUGGUGGGGUAAAGGCCUACCAAGGCAACGAUCUGUAGCUGGUCUGAGAGGAUGAUCAGCCACACUGGGACUGAGACACGGCCCAGACUCCUACGGGAGGCAGCAGUGGGGAAUUUUGGACAAUGGGGGCAACCCUGAUCCAGCCAUUCCGCGUGAGUGAAGAAGGCCUUCGGGUUGUAAAGCUCUUUCGGCAGGAACGAAACGGUGAGCUCUAACAUAGCUUGCUAAUGACGGUACCUGAAGAAGAAGCACCGGCUAACUACGUGCCAGCAGCCGCGGUAAUAC
rnacentral:rRNA from 1 species